rnacentral:rRNA from 1 species
UACGUAGGGGGCGAGCGUUGUCCGGAUUUAUUGGGCGUAAAGAGCUCGUAGGCGGUUUGGCAAGUCGGGUGUGAAAUUUCGAGGCUCAACCUCGAAACGCCACUCGAUACUGCCAUGACUGGAGUCCGGUAGAGGAGUGCGGAAUUCCUGGUGUAGCGGUGAAAUGCGCAGAUAUCAGGAGGAACACCAACGGCGAAGGCAGCACUCUGGGCCGGUACUGACGCUGAGGAGCGAAAGUGUGGGGAGCGAACAGG